rnacentral:rRNA from 1 species
CAUGCAAGUCGAACGGAGCUGAGAGGAGCUUGCUUUUCUUAGCUUAGUGGCGAACGGGUGAGUAACGCGUGAGUAACCUGCCCUGGAGUGGGGGACAACAGUUGGAAACGACUGCUAAUACCGCAUAAGCCCACGAUCCGGCAUCGGAUUGAGGGAAAAGGAUUUAUUCGCUUCAGGAUGGACUCGCGUCCAAUUAGCUAGUUGGUGAGGUAACGGCCCACCAAGGCGACGAUUGGUAGCCGGACUGAGAGGUUGAACGGCCACAUUGGGACUGAGACACGGCCCAGACUCCUACGGGAGGCAGCAGUGGGGAAUAUUGCACAAUGGGGGAAACCCUGAUGCAGCGACGCCGCGUGGAGGAAGAAGGUCUUCGGAUUGUAAACUCCUGUUGUUGAGGAAGAUAAUGACGGUACUCAACAAGGAAGUGACGGCUAACUACGUGCCAGCAGCCGCGGUAAAACGUAGGUCACAAGCGUUGUCCGGAAUUACUGGGUGUAAAGGGAGCGCAGGCGGGAAGACAAGUUGGAAGUGAAAUCCAUGGGCUCAACCCAUGAACUGCUUUCAAAACUGUUUUUCUUGAGUAGUGCAGAGGUAGGCGGAAUUCCCGGUGUAGCGGUGGAAUGCGUAGAUAUCGGGAGGAACACCAGUGGCGAAGGCGGCCUACUGGGCACCAACUGACGCUGAGGCUCGAAAGUGUGGGUAGCAAACAGGAUUAGAUACCCUGGUAGUCCACACCGUAAACGAUGAUUACUAGGUGUUGGAGGAUUGACCCCUUCAGUGCCGCAGUUAACACAAUAAGUAAUCCACCUGGGGAGUACGACCGCAAGGUUGAAACUCAAA